GCUAUCCGGGUUUCUCAUGCGCGUGAGCUUGGGAUCUAACAGCCUGCUCUGUCGAGGUCACGCGCGCAUUGAUAAGGAACCACAGCCAGGGUUAUAUGAUCAACAUAAACAUGAAUACAUAAUCCAGUCGCGUCAGGCAAGCCCAUUUGGUUGCACCUGCGCUGCCCCAUCCGAAGGCUGAACGUUUUGUGUGUAUGCCGACUGCCUGUAGGUUACGGUGCUAAUGAGCCUAUCUUGUCUCCUCUGAACAAUCUGUGCCGGAGUUGGAAUAUAUUUCCUGUGGUUCAUCAGAAGAACUGGCAAGCAAACAAGGCUGAUAGAUGUAGUUCAGACUUGUGAGGAUUUCCUGUUGCAAAAGUUUGGCAUUCACUGACGUUUCCUGGUGGUGUAGAAAGGCAGAGGAGUAAUUGGUUGCCGUAAUAGUUUGGCCUGAAGAUUCUUCCUGUGGAUCCAGCAGAUGGUGAUUUGAAUUAUGUGUCCUGCAAGGUGAAACCCAUAAAUCAGACCUGAUCAGAGGUGAAAAUCUAAGUGAUCGUUAAUGUUCUGAACCGAAGGUGCCAAACUUCGUUUCAUCUCUUCAAGAUUUGGACAGGACGAAGAUACUUUAUCUUCUUUAGAAUAAAGAAAUAGUGGAAGCAGAAACUUUUGAACUGUAUUCUUCAGAAACUCCCAGGAGGUGCAAUGAGUGCACUUCCUCUUUCAAGACUGUUAUGAAAAGCCGAAGUGUUCUGGAGGGGGUACAGAUUGCCUCUGAAGGCUGGCUCUAUGAUGCUUAUUUCAGUGGGAUGCUGCGUCGUCACACCCAGCCUGUUACCUCUCAGACAGAAACUGAUGUUUUAAAUACGAUCGUGGAGCUGGGUACCUUCUGGAGUAGCCAGGCUGGCUGCACCCUGGGUGAAUACCGAAGCUGCGCACAGUCUCCGAGGGAUCUAGAACUGGAAUGAUCCAGAAAAACCCACAGCUCUGGGAUUCAUCGGGAAGUGUCACAUCUCUUCCAUCCCCCAGCUAACUAAAGCUCCAGCUAAACCACGAAAGCAGGUCUUUCCUAAUCAACUGCCUCUGUGUCAUACGAUUGUUCAGUAAUCCGUGAUGUACGUGUUUGAGGAGACUGAGGAAAGGGCUUUUCUGCUAAUAAUUCAGUUUCUUUUCUUUGAACAACCAUAUCUUCCCCAAAUUCAUGCUUUGAUGUGGAUAGUAGAAAUGAAAUAAAUGUGGUAGAGAUAUUCUCUUUUUUAUCAAGUCAAUGUUCACUGGAUAUUUCUAAAAGUCAAAUAUUGUUUUAAAAAAUAUUUGUAAAUAGCAGUCACUACCUAGGAUUUUAUUGCUUUGGAUACUUAGUAAGUAAGUUUCAAUUAAUAUUUGUGCUUGUGCCUUGAGGGGUGAGCUGCAUAUAAGACCCUAAAAAUUAAGAAAAAAACCCCAAAACACAAGGGAUUUGCCAGGCAAAUGAUUUGGAGGAGGAAAAGAAAAACUGUCACACAACACAACUGUCACACGUUUUUUUCCCACCACCCUCUAUCUUCUUUGGUUAUUCAGUAUGUAAGAAGAGUUUUCCUUUCCCAAAUGCUUACUAAACUUCCCUACAAGACUAGUACCUGCAAAGGACACCACUUUUGCCUCUUUAUUAAAAAGACCCAGAGAAAAUGUGUGUGCGGGGAGGAGGGUGAGACUUUCUUUAAUAUUCUUUGCACUCUCAGCUAGUCUGCAGUUGCCAGUUGCAUUACUGACAUUUAUUCAUUAAGUUUUGCCACAUGAAUUCUUUCCCUCAGCCUUGAAGGUCACCAACUGUGAUUUGCUAGGUUUGAGAAAAAGUCGCAAUCAAAUACUGAGGCCACAGACGGAUGCCCACCGGAGAAAUGGCAGUGAUGGUGUAAGGCUUUACAGCUUUCACCGCAGGAAUAGUCUAUGCAAGCGCUUCUUCUCUCCAUCGCUGUCAAAGCAACUGGUUUAGUUUGAAGUGCCAGUGCAGGGCAGAUGGAAGAAGUAUGUAACUUCAUGACUGCCCCAGCCAUUUCUGCAAGAAGCGUUUGACUACAGCCUGCGUAGUUCUUAUUCUAGUUAUUUGCCUUUGUUUCACAUUGUUGCAGCCAGAAGAUUGUUAAGUGCCUUUUUAGGACAGGUUUGAAUUCAGUGAGACUACUUACAUAAGUAGCCGUUCACCAAUUUGAGCAAUAUGACCCUUGGUUUCCAUUUCUAGGACACGUCGUUCAAGAAAGUUGGGCCUGUUAUGUCAAUAACCUCGUGGCUGCUACAUCUCAGCCCUGGUCCCGCAGAGUCUGCCGACGAGCUUCAGCACAAUCCCCAUUAAAGUUGUUAUUAUAAACUGAUUAAAUCAUGGCUUGUGGUGGA